rnacentral:rRNA from 1 species
AUGAGAUUCUUGUGCUGGAACUGUCGCGGCCUGGGGACGGACGCGACAGUUGGCGAGCUGAAAUGGCUCGUUAAUAAAUACCGCCCCUCCCUCCUCUUUCUAUCCAAGACGAGAAUGAGGGAUUCAAGAGCUCGUAACCUAAUGUGGGCAUUGGGUUACUCGGGAGCUUUUGUAGUCAGUAGUGACGGAUUGAGUGGUGGGCUGGCCCUCUAUUGGUCCGCCUCUAUCUCAGUGUCUCUAAAAGCGUACUCCAUGCAACUGAUGGAUAUUAGAGUCAAAACAGAAAAUGGAGUUGAAUGGCGUACAACAUUGGUAUAUGGAUAA